rnacentral:rRNA from 1 species
AGUGAACGCUGGCGGUAGGCCUAACACAUGCAAGUCGAACGGCAGCACAGUAAGAGCUUGCUCUUACGGGUGGCGAGUGGCGGACGGGUGAGGAAUACAUCGGAAUCUACUUUUUCGUGGGGGAUAACGUAGGGAAACUUACGCUAAUACCGCAUACGACCUACGGGUGAAAGCAGGGGAUCUUCGGACCUUGCGCGAUUGAAUGAGCCGAUGUCGGAUUAGCUAGUUGGCGGGGGAAAGGCCCACCAAGGCGACGAUCCGUAGCUGGUCUGAGAGGAUGAUAAGCCACACUGGAACUGUGACACGGUCCAGACUCCUACGGGAGGCAGCAGUGGGGAAUAUUAGACAAUGGGCGCAAGCCUGAUCCAGCCAUACCGCGUGGGUGAAGAAGGCCUUCGGGUUGUAAAGCCCUUUUGUUGGGAAAGAAAAGCAGCAGGUUAAUACCCCGCUGUUCUGACGGUACCCAAAGAAUAAGCACCGGCUAACUUCGUG